AAAACAGAGCCGUCGUAUGUUUAGACAAACAACGAAGCUGCGUCCCCUCAUCCCUGUGAAUCUUACCAGUCGGAGGUGAAUGCUGGCAAUCUUCGGGUAGAUUGUGACGGGAAGUGAAAGAGGCAUUCGACAUGUGCAAAAAUCAUUUUCUGGGGAAUGAUUAAUUUUUGGUUCGUGCUUUUCUGGUCAGUGGUUCGGUUCGUGCUUUCGUGGUCUACCACUCCACCAAACCUCCAAGCUACUUCGGUGAAUGAUUAAUUUUUGGCUCAAAGACAAAUCAUUUCUUGGAUGAAUAGGGGUUUCAGGGAUUAGCAAGUUGCAUGUUUGUUUUAUAGAUUUCGCUUUUUAUCAUUAAUCACUGUAUAAGCUUAAAAUUAACAAAUCAGUUUAACAAAUAGUCCUUCAAGAGCUGUAAUCUUCUGUCCUUAACCUCCUUGCAAAUGUUAAGGUAACAUAUUAAGAAAGGCCUCGAGAUGGGAAUACAAUCUCCAUAAUUAUAAUCAAAGCUUUGAGCCAGUCUACUGCUUUCACCAUUCAAUGCUUUGAGCUUCAUAAAAGUAGGAUCCUCUUCACUCUCAAACCUUGUAUCAAACAUGAUCCUGUACAUGUUAUUGUACAUCAUUAAUUGCCAUCUCCUCCGUAAAACAAUCCCAUAAUGUACUCGAGAAAUUUGGCUUAUUAUGUUUCUUGAAUUUUUAAUUAAUUCUCUGUAGUUUUACUGACUGGAGUGAGGGCUUUAUCAGUUUUGAAAACCCACAAUUUAUGAACUUCAUGGACUUUGAAUUACCUGGACUUUGAAUUACCAAAUUUGAUUCAUUUAGUGGAAGAGGAAUAAACCCUUUUGUGGGCUCAAUUACAUGUCUCCAAGUUGUUGUUUCUAGAGUUUGAAUUCACUCCUUCUACGGCAAUCUGACAGAAUUACCUGAAUGCAAGAAUUGAUCAACAGGAUCCAAAAUUGUAAUUCGAGCCCACCGACUUCACGAUGUGUCCUUAAAACGAAUUUGCUGCCUUCAAUGGUGCUAAAGGCGUCCAACAAUCGUUUCCCAGGAUAGAACGAAUUUUUCGUCUCCUACGGAAGCAGCACUGCAGUUUGUAGGAGUUCCAACGAACUCAACGAAGUAUUUUUUACUUCGAGACAAUAUCAGAACGAGAGAGAGAGGGAAAUGAGAUUCAAAGCACAGAAAGUUUGCAAUGAAAAUGGUGUAAAUUUUCUGGUAGAAAGGCUGGCUAUUUAUAGACUUGUUCGUGGCCAUUCGAACAGUCAUCACCUUUCAGACAAGCCUCAAAAAUCCAAACAGACAUACUGUUCUUAAAAGUCGUGUCUGUUAAGUCGGUUAACAGUCGGCUAACAGUCGACUGUUUGGUCGGUAAACAGUCGAAACAGUCGACUGUUAAAAAGAAAAUAAAUAAAACACCCGGAAUAAGCCAAAAUUUCAUUUUGUACCCAAGAAUUUGAUUAUUUACAAUUUGGUCCAAAAUUUUAAAUAAAUUUUGUCCAAAAAGUUAAUAUAGUGUAAAGGUCGACCCGGACCCGCACCGGACUCGGGCACGGGCACGGGCACGUGCUCGUGCCGUGCCGUGCCGAGCCGAGCCGGCCGGUCGGACGGACGGCGGCGGCGGCGGCGGCGCGCGCGUAUGGGUUUAUGACCGAACCUAAUAGGAUAUAGGUCUUCCCCCUUCCAAAGACUAUUGGUACCCCUUGGGGCCCAAACCCAAUUCCAAACUUCCACCUUAUAAACCACACCAAAGUUUCCUAACUUUCCUAUGUGGGAUAAGUGUUUGGCAAAUCAAAUUCUUCCAUAAUCCUUAGUUUAUGUGGGUUACUUUAACACUUAAUAUUUCAUUCAAUUUUAAAUGGUUUUCGAUAAAUAAAUAUAUCACGUUAAUCAUCUCGCGGAGUAGAACGUGAAUAUGCUAGGUCCCGUAUUAUUUAAAAGGUGGGUCCCACUGAAAUUUGGGCUCAAAGUUGACCCAUUAAACCAUUUUUUCCAACACAAGUCACAUCUCAGAAGGUAGACAAAUUGAAAUGUUUCGUUUGACAUAUAUUUUCCAACAAUUUUCAGGAACUUGAGAUGAAAUGUUUGGAUUGAUUUAUGUUUUAUUUGAGACUAAUUAUUGAUGCUUAAACUUCCAUUUUCCUUGAACAAGUUAGUCGAACUACUUCAUCAUAUUGCUUCUCGUUUCUAUCAUUGCUUUUUAUUCUGUUGAACAUUAUCUUUCUACUUGGACGCAAAGUGUGAAAUUAUGGAACCCGGGAACGAAAAUGGUUUCAUGCAAUCCGAUAAUGAGAUAGUUUCAGACAAUAUCAACGUUGUGGAUAACGACACCUUGAGAGGAGAUGGAGAGAUUGAGCCCGAGGUGGGUAUGACAUUUAAAGAUGAGAAGGAGUUGUUUGAUUUCUACAAGCAAUAUGCCUAUGCAGUUGGUUUCCCAGUCAGAAAAAAAAAUUCUAAAAAGGGGGAUGAUGGAGUUGUUAGAUUUGUGACAUUUACAUGUAGUCGUGAGGGCUGAAGGUCUAGUAAUACAAACAGUGCUUUGAGGCCGCAACCAAUAAGUCAAACAAAUUGUAAAGCACGGAUAUCUGCAUCUGCAGACUGUAAUGGCACAUGGAGAAUUAACACUAUCAACCUCCAACACAUCCAUAAGACAAGUCCUUCGAAAUCUAGGAUGUUUCGGUGCAAUCGGGAAUUAAGUGCAAAUGUGAAACGAAAGCUUGAAUUGAAUGACAUAGCGGGAAUUUCACUGCACAAAAGUUUCAACUCUACAGUUGUAGAGGCAGGUGGGUAUGAGAAUAUGACUUGCGUUGAAAAAGAGUGCCGAAAUUAUAUUGAACAAGUUAGACGGUUAUGACAUGGAGAGAGAGAUGCAGCAGCAUUACAAUCUUACUUUUCAUAGAUGCAAGCACGGUGCUUAGGGUUUUACUUUGCUAUGGAUUUAGAUGAUGAGUCUUGGCUUAAGAAUGUAUUUUGGGCAGAUAAUAGAUGUAGGCAACCUUACAAGGAGUUCGGGGAUGUUGUAACUUUUGAUACCACUUAUUUGAAGAAUAAGUACGACAUGCCUUUCGCACCUUUUGUUGGUGUAAAUCAUCAUGGACAAUCAACACUACUUGGUUGUCGCUUGUUAUCAAAUGAGAAUACAAGUACGUUUGUCUGGCUAUUUAGGAUGUGGCUUCAGUGCAUGCAUGAUCAACCUCCACGUGGAAUAAUUACCGAUCAAGACAAAGCCAUGCAGAAUGCAAUCGAGAUUGUAUUUCCGAAUACUAGACAUAGAUGGUGCUUGUGGCACAUUAUGAAGAAAUUUCCAAAGAAGUUUGAGUACCACAUUGACAAAAGUUUGAUAUUCUCGACUAUACAUCGUUUGGUAUACGACUCGCAAGCUGUUGAUGAAUUUGAAAAAGGUUGGAGAGCCAUGAUCGAUGAGUUUGAGUUGUAUGACAAUGAUUGGUUGUUUGGAUUGUACGAAAAUCGAGGUCGUUGGGUGCCUUGCUUUUUGAAAACAACUUUCUGGGCUGGGAUGUCUACAAUACAACGAAGUGAAAGUAUGAAUGCAUUUUUCGAUGGAUACAUCCAUUCGCAGACCUCUUUGAGACAGUUCAUUGAACAAUACGAACAAGCACUGAGGAAUAAGGUUGAAAAAGAGCUCCAAGCUGAUUUCAAAUCAUACUCGCAGAUGGUCCCGUUUGCAACAAGUUUUGAGAUGGAAAAACAAUUUCAAUUAGUAUACACAAUUUCAAAGUUCAAGAAAGUUCAAGAUGAGUUUGUAGAAAAGAUUUAUUGUGAUGUCGCUUUGGAAGUAGAGGGAUUGUAUGGGGUGAAGUACGAGGUUCGGGAGUCUAUAGUAUACCUCGAGGGUAGGAAGAAGAAAACAUUUCUCGUCUCAUUUCUGAGGGACACUAGUGAAGUGAUGUGUAGUUGCCACUUGUUUGAGUUUCGAGGAAUUAUUUGUAGGCCUGCGAUCACAGUGUUCGACCGUAAUGACUUCACAAGAAUGCCAGAGAAGUAUAUAUUGUGGCGGUGGAGGAGAGAUAUCAGUAGGGCACAUACGAGGGUCGCAGUGAACUACGCCGGGUUGGUUAGUAUGCCUGAACAAUUAAGAUAUGAUGAUAUGUGUCAAGCAUUUUCGGAGGUGGCAGACCUUGCUGCGAGUGACGAAGGGCGGGCUCGAGCAAUAAUGGAUUGGAUAAAACUCCAAGCAACAGAGUUGAGGACUUCCCGGUCGAGUGGUGGUAGUAAUGUCGUUUCCCAGCAAAAUUUUCAGGGUGCCACACAGUGUAUUGGAUCCCAGAAUACCACAGGCGUGAAUGUGUUGAAUCCUCACUCGUCAAACAGAAAGGGCGCGCACCGAGGAAGUUUAGGAAAAAAGGCCCGUUGGAGUCUAUUUCGAAGAAGGUAACUGUAUUUUUCCCUAUUAAUUUGUUCAACUAAAUGCGAAUUCCACCACAAAAUUUGAAUUUUGUGCAUGUAUGUACAGGAAAGUUCGAAGUCAGAUAAAGGAAAGAGACUAAGAGAUAGGCGCACUGAUAUGGAAGAGGCUGCACCUAAAGUCCAGCAAUCUGAACAAGUUCAACAUUUGCUACGAACACCAUUCUCAUAUUGACAGCUUCUGUU
rnacentral:lncRNA from 1 species